rnacentral:rRNA from 1 species
UACGAAGGGUGCAAGCGUUAAUCGGAAUUACUGGGCGUAAAGGGUGCGUAGGCGGUUGUUUAAGUCUGUCGUGAAAUCCCCGGGCUCAACCUGGGAAUGGCGAUGGAUACUGGGCAGCUAGAGUGUGUCAGAGGAUGGUGGAAUUCCCGGUGUAGCGGUGAAAUGCGUGGAGAUCGGGAGGAACAUCAGUGGCGAAGGCGGCCAUCUGGGACAACACUGACGCUGAAGCACGAAAGCGUGGGGAGCAAACAGG